UAAUUAUAUUAGCCCUCAGGUGAUAAAAAAUAUGUACGUGAGAAAAAUCACGUAUGCUCUUUUUAUUUUUAAACUUUAAAUAAUUUAACGCGAAUCUUAUCAAUUAAAUAUUUGAUGGAACAAAGUUACAUUUCUGGUGGGUACUUUAUGAUCGCCGUCGAAGAAGGAGAACUUACGGGUAUUUAAUGAUCGGGACCGAGAUCAUUAGAACAGUUAACAAAAAAACGAACAAAAGAAUCUUCGCAUAAGCGUUUUUUAUUCGAAAUAAAAAAAAAAAUUAAAAAUGACAAAACUCAUAUUAAUUAUUACGAUUGUUGGAUUACUUGUAAUUGCAAUGCUGGAAAAUGUCCAAGGGGAUUCUUGUAUAACUGAAACCUCUAUAUGUUGUUGGUGGGUGAGAGGAUCCUGCUGCGGCAAACUCGUCUGCAAUCCGACAAAUGCCCUAAUGGGAACUUGUGAAAGAAUCUAUCAAAGUGCAUACUUUUGAACUAAUCGUUUGGAAAAAUAUAAUGUAAUUAAACUUGACUAUAAAUAUGUAUUUUAAAAUAAAAAGUAAUGUAUUUGUAAAAUAAUUAAAUAAAUAAUAUAUUAUUUAUAAAUUUAUAUAAGAAGUAGUAUGAGUAAGUAGAAGUGGAUCUAUAAGUGGAAUAAAAUAAAAAUAAAAAAGUUUACGUAACGAAAGCAGAAGAGAAUGAUCGUAAAAAUAAGUUGCCGGCAUAGCAAUAAAAAGCGAGAAAGAGGUGAACCGUACUGGCAACUACGUGCCGAACAAAAAACUAAUUAUACUAAAUGAAGCUAAAUUACAGGGCCAUAAGAGAGUGCCGCAUGAUUGAGGGCCUAAAUAAUAACGAUUAAAUUCAAUCCGGUAAUAAUACGACACCUUUAGUACAAGUGUUUAUUAAUAAAUAUAAAUAUCUAUGUAUAUCAAUUUUAAUUUCACUUGUUGCAAUUAUUUUUAAUAUCGUAAAUAUAUACAACGCUUAUUCAUUUAUAUUAAAAGAAUAAUAUUAGAUAG